GUCGCCAUGACUUUGCUCCUCAUUCGCCUUCAGCCAUGAUUGUGAGGCCUCCCCAGUCAUGUGGAACUGUUAACUGACAGAACUCGUUGAACCGGAUAAUAGGCUGGCUACUCCCAGAAGGCAAGAUUGAGAUGAACUGAGGCCUCAUAGCUACAAAUUGGUACAGUCAUUUCCGGAUUGCUAUGGGGAUCAGAUAUUAUUAUAUAGGUGAAGUGAAACCUCACAGAGAAAUGGGAGACUUAAGUCAAAAUGAUUGACUCAACUCAAGAAGCAACAUCUGAAGAGAUGCCGGUGCCUUGACCUUGGACUUCCCAGCCUCUAGAACUAUGAGAAAUAAAUUUCUCUUGUUUGUAAACUAUUCAGUCUCAGUCUUGGCUAUUUUGUUAUAGCAGCACAAACAAACUAAGAAUCUUUACCCCUUUUGAAUCUGGGGAGAUGCUGGUUCUUGAGUUGAGUCAACCAUUUUAGAAAAUAAUAAAAGCAUGUCUUUCAGGAAAGAGCAAGCAAGUGAGCACAAUUCAGGCCACCCACCACAGCACUGGAAGAGGAAAAGAAAAGACAACCUAGCUACCAACUACCAAAAUGGUCCAAGACCAAGAUAGGGUGCAUAGCAUGUGGUCAACUCUGUAUCUAGAACCCAAGCAGUUAACUACAAGGCUGGAAAAUGAGAUCAUCCAGCUGUUCACUCAGUGUGCUUCAGAGGAGAGGUGCUUUCCACAACUGAAGGGCUGCAAAGAGGGCAGGUAGAAU
rnacentral:lncRNA from 1 species